rnacentral:rRNA from 1 species
UUGAACGCUGGCGGCAGGCCUAACACAUGCAAGUCGAGCGGUAGAGAGGUGCUUGCAUCUCUUGAGAGCGGCGGACGGGUGAGUAAUGCCUAGGAAUCUGCCUAGUGGUGGGGGAUAACGUUCGGAAACGGACGCUAAUACCGCAUACGUCCUACGGGAGAAAGCGGGGGAUCUUCGGACCUCGCGCCAUUAGAUGAGCCUAGGUCAGAUUAGCUAGUUGGUGAGGUAAUGGCUCACCAAGGCGACGAUCCGUAACUGGUCUGAGAGGAUGAUCAGUCACACUGGAACUGAGACACGGUCCAGACUCCUACGGGAGGCAGCAGUGGGGAAUAUUGGACAAUGGGCGAAAGCCUGAUCCAGCCAUGCCGCGUGUGUGAAGAAGGUCUUCGGAUUGUAAAGCACUUUAAGUUGGGAGGAAGGGUAGUAACCUAAUACGUUGCUACUUUGACGUUACCGACAGAAUAAGCACCGGCUAACUUCGUG